GUAGUUGACUCCGUGGCUCGAGACGACGCUGGCGGCGUGCUUAACACAUGCAAGUCGAACGAUGAAGCUCCUGCUUGCAGGGGUGGAGUUAGUGGCGAACGGGUGAGUAACACGUGAGUAACCUGCCCCUGACUGCGGGAUAAGCCCCGGGAAACUCGGGUCUAAUACCGCAUAUGACGCCUGGCCGCAUGGUCUGGGUGUGGAAAGGUUUUUCGGUUGGGGAUGGGCUCGCGGCCUAUCAGCUUGUUGGUGGGGUAAAGGCCUACCAAGGCGACGACGGGUAGCCGGCCUGAGAGGGCGACCGGCCACACUGGGACUGAGACACGGCCCAGACUCCUACGGGAGGCAGCAGUGGGGAAUAUUGCACAAUGGGGGAAACCCUGAUGCAGCGACGCCGCGUGAGGGAUGACGGCCUUCGGGUUGUAAACCUCUUUCAGUAGGGAAGAAGCCUUUCGGGGUGACGGUACCUGCAGAAGAAGUACCGGCUAACUACGUG
rnacentral:rRNA from 1 species